CUUCCGGGCAGCGGGAAGCCUGGGGGGAGAGGGGUGAACGGGACUUUCUACCGAACAGUGUGUAUACAUGUUUCUCAAGAAAUUGUAGAAUGAGCUGGAAUACAAAAUCCUGAGAAGGGGCCGUACUGGGGAGAAGGACCUGAGAUCUAUUCUUCUCUCCCUUAGAAGCAGAACAUUCUUCAAGGCUUUGGCAGCAUGUCUGUUGCCCAUGAGGUAUGUAACCCUUGGAUCUGCCCUUUAUGACCCUCAGCUGCAGUGCAAGUGGGGCACUCACAGUCAAGACUCCAGCCACACUAAACUGCUUUCCUCAGACCUGGGAGACAAGCUCACAGUGAAUCCUAAGCCUCCGUUGUCCCUUGCUGUCUAUUUGUAAGCGAUACAUCCAUUUUGUAUAACUCGUAUGCAUUGCGGUUGUGUCAUGCCAGACUUAUACAAGUUUGUAAUCAGUGCACAGUGCAUCAACUUCAUAUAUAAACAAUUUAAAAUAAAUUCAUGAUAACUCAUUCAUAAUAAAAUAUCAUUUGCUUUU